CCCUUAGAUGUUCUGGGCAGCACGCGCGCUACAAUGGUCUUCGCAAACGGAUGCAUUCUCGAAGGAGAAUGCCAAUCUUGGAAUCUAUGCCUUGGUCGGGACAGUUGCUUGCAAUUUUUCGACUCGAACCAGGAAUUCCUUGUAAUCGUGAUUCAUCACAUCGCGAUGAAUACGUCCCUGCCCUUUGUACACACCGCCCGUCGCUCCUACCGAUCGAAGAGUUAGGUGAAUUGUUUUGAUCGAUAAGAUUUGACUAUGGUCAACUCUCGUUGUGAAAUUCUGUGAAUCUGACUGUUUAGAGGAAGGAAAAGUCGUAACAA
rnacentral:rRNA from 1 species